UUCACUAGAUUGUUCUGCAUUUCUCAUUAAAUAAAAACAGAACACUUGCCUCUUAAGAAUGACACAUUUAUAUAUAGACACACACACAAAUACUGCAUUUAUAUACAUCAUUUUUAGAAAACAAAGAAAACAACGUACAUUAACAAGACUUGUUUGUGAUUAACAAAAAUAGCCUUUAACAUUCUAGUUAAAAACAUGUUGUAAUGUGAAAGAUAGUCUUAAUGCUCAGAUAUCUGCACAAAGCAAAAUAAGGUAUCCGGUCCUUUAUCGGUUUAAAUUGGCCCAAAACACAACAUGUAAGAGGCAUCCGAGACUGAACCCUGAGAGGUUUUAGGAUAAUCAGGAGGUAUGGCUUUCACCGCUGUCAAAGUUACUCAAGAGUUUCACUUUUUUUCCCUUGAAAUUGCUGAUACUUUAUUUGUAAGCUGGAGCUUUACCUAAAAAAAAAAAAAAAAAAACUAGUGACAAGAUAAAUUCAAACAACCCUCUGCUAUUUACUUAAAAAAAGAAAAAAAAAACUAACAACAAUAUUAAUAAUAAUAAGUGCAUAGAUACAGUAAAAUAAAGUUUUUGAGGCCAGGAGGACACAUUAAACUGUUCAAUAAGAGCCUUAUAUAGGCCUCAAACUGAUUCUUUCAGUAUGUCAAUUUGUAAAAAAGACAAGUUUGGAAUAUUCUAGGUUAAAAUCAGGUACACGUACAAACAUAAAACAUGUGGGCAGAUUUGCACAUACAAUGUAAGUCUAUGGGACAAGUACACGGUUGCCUCAUAGACUUCUACUAAAAGCAUUUCUGUAUGCACAUUUUUUGGGAGCUUGUGCAAUGUUUUUGUGGUAACCGACAUCCCAGAGGUGAUGUCGUAAGAUCUGAACUUGUAUACACCCAGCACAAUAGACAAAAUAAUCUGUCAAAACCGCUGGAGCUAAAAUAAACUGGUGGCAGAAAUGGGACAUUGAGACUUAAGUUGUUGAAUUCUUUGUUCACAAGUCAAAAACAAUCAGAAAUGACGUAUCAGGGAAAUAACGGCUCAGUCGUGUAUUUACACAUAUAAAACCUUCAUUAAAACAGUAAAUAGACACGCCGAAAGGUAGUACAGUGACAUUCUAGCACAUUCUUCAUUCCUUGAUAAGGAACUGCAUCGCAGUAAAGACCUCCCAUCAGCAGGGGGGGCGAUAUGGAGUGGAAAAACAAACAUAAGAUGAACGUAAACCACUUUAUGACCAAGUUUAGAAAUCACAGGGGUGAUCGUUUACAAAUAGUUUAGCAUCAACCUGAAGAUGAAUAACAAGAGACAUGUCCAAAAACAGUCCUUUUGGGUUGCGGAUUGAACGCAUCUAUUUUCGGGAAGCGAGAGGGUGAUGCUGCAGGCUCAUUUCCUAAAAUUAGAGAUGAAAACUUUCAUACAUAUCCCCCAGUGCAUUUCAUAUUUGCAGUGCUUGAAAUACCCUCUCAGCAUCAAAAAGGUUUGCAAAUGGUCCUUCAUUUCCUCUGAUGGUGGAUCUUAAACAAACUGCUCUCUAAAAUUACCUUUGGACGAACAAGAGCCAGAUUUGUAUUGGGUCACAUUAGGUUUGCGCUGUAAACCACCUCUAACCCCCAUUUCUAAAAAUACAGGA